CUUUCUCACCUGUAAAUCCUUCCAUCCAUGCCAAAGGAUAUGAAAGUCUCUUUAACAUCUAUUCAAAUGUAACAAAAAUUAUUAAUGUAAUACUAUAAAAAUUAAAUUAGUUUGUAAUUUUAAAACUUUUUAGAGGAUAAGUAAGCAAAAAUUACUUAUUUAUACUAAAAUUAUGAACAUUAAAAGUAUAUUCGUCAAAGCAAUGAAAAUUUUUUGAUAUAUAUUAAUUUUUUAAUUUUUAAAUGUUUAAAACUAUUUAUAGACACAAUCUGGGGAGGUUUAGGGGGCUGUAAAUUUAGAAUACUUUUUAAUUAUUAAUAAUAUUUUUAAUAACUCCAUUUAAAAAGAAUAAAAUUUUUCAAAAUUGAAAAUUGUACAAUCUAAUAUAAAAUUAUGUAAGUUGCCUAAUAAAAAUUAUUACUUUA